CAAUAACCAAAGUGGCAAGCUGUGUCCCUGCUACGAGUGUGAGUGGUACCUGCGACUGUCGUAAAGCAAAAAGGAUUCUUUGGAAAAUAUUCACGCCGCAGGUGAAGACGUGAAAUGCAAAAAUGAAAAUAAGAUACAGCUGGAAAAUUGGAUGGCUGUGACGUGACCGAAUCCUGAAGGAAUUGCAUUUGUUCAGUCAAAAAGACGCGAAUAAAUAACAAUGUAACUUUG